AAAGUCAAACUUUACAUUAAAUGCAUGAAAUGAAAGCUAAGCCAAUUCAGUAUAAAUAGAAAAGAAGGUUCAGCUUUCAAAUCCACUCCUUCUUCCUGCCUUCUCUCAAAGGCACAACCCAAUUUUCUUUAAAGUUAUUCACCCCUAAAUUCUACAAAGCCCUGCCUCAUUUUAAGUAUGGUAGCCCCUGACUACUGAUACCCUGUCCAAGUGACGUAGGGCCCCGUAACGUAUGUCAAGGCUUUGCCUAAAUUCGUUGGGGUUCUGUCUCGUGACGUAGGGAUAAAGUAGAAUUGGGUUACUAUACUUGAUGUGGGUACACUAUAUAUUUUAUUAAAUAAUCCAGGAGUUGUACCCAAAAUAUAACAAACCUCCCGAAUAUUUUUCUGACACCCUACACUUCCUAAAAUACACCACAUAUGUGAAAACCGAGCCCGAAAUAUAAUAUAGCAUUAAAAAUAAGUGAAAAACAAGAAAUAGUAAGUUGAGGCGGGCCGCGUAGACCCACCCCAACCAUUCACGCGGGCCGUAUGAAGGUGUAACCGGAUUCCUUUGAUUUCUUAAGUCCAGGCGGGCCGCGUAAGGCCACACCGUUAGUUUACGCGGGCCGCGAGUGUCCCGAUUCGUGGCGCAGCCCGGUGAUGACACGUGUCAUCAUCGUGGCAGGUCUAGAGGAUGAGCCGGACAAGCUAGUCCGUUGACCAGGGUUGACGCGGGCCGCGUGACCCCUGUCCUUUCUUUACGCGGGCCGCGUGGGAACCAGAAUCAGCACCUAUAUAAGCAGGCAUCGGGUUUUAGUAUUCCUCGUUCAUUUCUUUUCUUUCUAAACGAAUUCUGAAGUAGUAGAAGUGAUACGCGGGUAUUAUACCCCCUAAUUAGCGAAGCUCUGCCUCGUUACUAUAACCAAGGAAUCACAAAGGAAAGCCUUAUAAUAGCAAUGUAACUUAGUGUAAAGCCAAUAGAAGCCAGCUGGAGAGCACUGAAGGCUUGGAAAAGUGGCAAUAAAGUUACCUAAAAUAAAAUAGAUGUUUUUAUUAAAUAAAAUAGGAUUUAUUCCUAUGAAAAUGUAUGUACUGAAAAACUUGGGUUUUAUCCCAUGUGUUUAAUAUAAUGAAAAGAAGGUGGUUUUACUCUGAUAAAAUAUUUCCUAACUACGGUCCUGAUGAAAAAUUCCGCUGCCAAAUAGACAAUACGCGAUACCACCGAAACUGGCUCACGGCCGCCCGCUCCUGAGGGAUCGGGGGUUGUGAAAGAAGGUGGUAUCAGAGCUAUGCCACUGGUUCAAGCCAAAGAAGUGUUCUGCUGACACUUAAGUUUUAAAUUCUGUGUUAGGAAAUUAAUAUAACAAUUUAUGUGUUAUUCUGUGUAGAUGAAUCUUAAUAUUUAUAUUAUGGUUUUUAUGUUUUGAGUUCAGAGUAUAAGUAACCAAUAUGACUAGACGUACCCAUAGGCUACCUCGGCAGAUGUAUUAUACAACACUCUUAUACAAUUAGUAACUUAAGGUAUCACCUU
rnacentral:lncRNA from 1 species